UAGGAAUCUUCCACAAUGGACGCAAGUCUGAUGGAGCAACGCCGCGUGAGUGAAGAAGGUUUUCGGACCGUAAAGCUCUGUUGUUGGUGAAGAAGGAUAGAGGUAGUAACUGGCCUUUAUUUGACGGUAAUCAACCAGAAAGUCACGGCUAACUACGUGCCAGCAGCCGCGGUAAUACGUAGGUGGCAAGCGUUGUCCGGAUUUAUUGGGCGUAAAGCGAGCGCAGGCGGAAGAAUAAGUCUGAUGUGAAAGCCCUCGGCUUAACCGAGGAAUUGCAUCGGAAACUGUUUUUCUUGAGUGCAGAAGAGGAGAGUAGAACUCCAUGUGUAGCGGUGGAAUGCGUAGAUAUAUGGAAGAAUACCAGUGGCGAAGGCGGCUCUCUGGUCUGCAACUGACGCUGAGGCUCGAAAGCAUGGUAGCGAACAGGAUUAGAUACCCUUGGUAGUCCAUGCCGUA
rnacentral:rRNA from 1 species